rnacentral:rRNA from 1 species
GACGAACGCUGGCGACGCGCUUAACACAUGCAAGUCGAACGGAAAGGCCUGCUUUCCCUUGUGGAUUGCGGGUACUCGAGUGGCGAACGGGUGAGUAACACGUGAGUGAUCUGCCCCCAACUUGGGUAUAAGCCUGGGAAACUGGGUCUAAUUCCCGAUAGGACUGCAGGGUGGUGCCUGUGGUGGAAAACGAUUUUCUAGUGGUUGGGGAUGAGCUCGCGGCCUAUCAGCUUGUUGGUGGGGUAAUGGCCUACCAAGGCGGCGACGGGUAGCCGGCCUGGGAGGGUGGACGGCCACAUUGGGACUGAGAUACGGCCCAGACUCCUACGGGAGGAAGCAGUGGGGAAUAUUGCACAAUGGGCGGAAGCCUGAUGCAGCGACGCCGCGUGGGGGAUGACGGCCUUCGGGUUGUAAACUCCUUUCGAGCGCGAGGAAGCCACCUGGUUGGAAGGGUGGUGACGGUAGUGGUAGAAGAAGCACCGGCUAACUACGUG